rnacentral:rRNA from 1 species
GAUGAACGCUGGCGGCGUGCCUAAUACAUGCAAGUCGAGCGAACGGACGAGAAGCUUGCUUCUCUGAUGUUAGCGGCGGACGGGUGAGUAACACGUGGAUAACCUACCUAUAAGACUGGGAUAACUUCGGGAAACCGGAGCUAAUACCGGAUAAUCUUUUGAACCGCAUGGUUCAAAAGUAAAAGACGGUCUUGCUGUCACUUAUAGAUGGUUCCGCGCUGCAUUAGCUAGUUGGUAAGGAAACGGCUUACCAAGGCAACGAUGCAUAGCCGACCUGAGAGGGUGAUCGGCCACACUGGAACUGAGACACGGUCCAGACUCCUACGGGAGGCAGCAGUAGGGAACCUUCCGCAAUGGGCGAAAGCCUGACGGAGCAAGGCCGCGUGAGUGAUGAAGGUCUUCGGAGCGGAAAACUCUGUUAUUAGGGAAGAACAUAUGUGUAAGGAACUGUGCACAGCUUGACGGUACCUAAUCAGAAAGCCACGGCUAACUACGUG